AACGAACGCUGGCGGCAUGCCUCAUACAUGCAAGUCGAACGAGAUCUUCGGAUCUAGUGGCGCACGGGUGAGUAACAUGUGGGAAUCUACCUGAAGGUUCGGAAUAACUGCGGGAAACUGUAGCUAAUACCGGAUGUGUCUGCAAAGAGAAAGAUUUAUCGCCUUCAGAUGAGCCCGCACUAGAUUAGCUAGUUGGUGAGGUAAUUGCUCCACCAAGGCUACGAUCUAUAGCUGAUUUGAGAGGAUGAUCAGCCACACUGGGACUGAGACACGGCCCAGACUCCUACGGGAGGCAGCAGUAGGGAAUAUUGGACAAUGGGGGAAACCCUGAUCCAGCAAUGCCGCGUGAGUGAAGAAGGCCUUCGGGUUGUAAAGCUCUUUCAUCAAUGAUGAUAAUGACAUUAGUUGAAGAAGAAGCCCCGGCUAACUUCGUGCCAGCAGCCGCGGUAAUACGAAGGGGGCUAGCGUUGUUCGGAAUCACUGGGCGUAAAGCGUAUGUAGGCGGAUCAAAAAGUUGGAUGUGAAAUCCCUGGGCUCAACCCAGGAACUGCAUUUAAAACUAGUGAUCUAGAAUUUGGUAGGGGUUAGUAGAAUUUCCAGUGUAGAGGUGAAAUUCGUAGAUAUUGGAAAGAAUACCAGUGGCGAAGGCGACUAACUGGGCCAUUUUUGACGCUGAGAUACGAAAGCGUGGGUAGCAAACAGGAUUAGAUACCCUGGUAGUCCACGCAGUAAACGAUGAGUGCUAGUCGCUGGGACAAUAGUUUCAGUGUCGAAGCUAACGCAUUAAGCACUCCGCCUGGGAAGUACGGUCGCAAGAUUAAAACUCAAAUAAAUUGACGGGGGCCCGCACAAGCGGUGGAGCAUGUGGUUUAAUUCGAAGCAACGCGAAGAACCUUACCAGACCUUGACAUGGUAUGUUUGAAUUACAGAAUCGUAAUUCUUCAGUUCGGCUGGCAUACACACAGGUGCUGCAUGGCUGUCGUCAGCUCGUGUCGUGAGAUGUUGGGUUAAGUCCCGCAACGAGCGCAACCCUCAUUUUUAGUUGCCAUCAGGUAAUGCUGGGCACUCUAAAAAAACUGCCGGUGAUAAGCUGGAGGAAGGCGGGGAUGACGUCAAGUCCUCAUGGCCCUUACGGUCUGGGCUACACACGUGCUACAAUGGUGGUGACAGUGGGCAGCAAUACUGCAAAGUAAAGCUAAUCCCAAAAAACCAUCUCAGUUCGGAUUGGACUCUGCAACUCGAGUCCAUGAAGUUGGAAUCGCUAGUAAUCGUAGAUCAGCGUGCUACGGUGAAUACGUUCUCGGGCCU
rnacentral:rRNA from 1 species